rnacentral:rRNA from 1 species
UACGGAGGGGGCUAGCGUUGUCCGAAUUUACUGGGCGUAAAGCGCGCGUAGGCGGGUUGGUAAGUCCGCUGUGAAAGCCCGGAGCUUAACUCCGGAGGGUCGGUGGAUACUGCCAGUCUUGAAGGUGCUAGGGGGAGAUGGAAUUACCGGUGUAGCGGUGAAAUGCGUAGAUAUCGGUAGGAACACCAGUGGCGAAGGCGGUCUCCUGGGGCAGUCUUGACGCUGAGGCGCGAAAGCUGGGGGAGCAAACGGG